rnacentral:misc_RNA from 1 species
GAUGAAGAACGUAGCGAAAUGCGAUAAGUAAUGUGAAUUGCAGAAUUCAGUGAAUCAUCGAAUCUUUGAACGCACAUUGCGCCCGUCAGUAUUCUGGCGGGCAUGCCUGUUCGAGCGUCAUUACGCCCCUCAAGUCCCCUGUGGACUUGGUGUUGGGGAUUGGCGAGGCUGGUUUUCCAGCACAGCCGUCCCUUAAAUUAAUUGGCGGUCUCGCCGUGGCCCUCCUCUGCGCAGUAGUAAAACACUCGCAACAGGAGCCCGGCGCGGUCCACUGCCGUAAAACCCCCCAACUUUUUAUAGUUGACCUCGAAUCAGGUAGGACUACCCGCUGAACUUAAGCAUAUCAAUAAGCGGAGGA